rnacentral:rRNA from 1 species
UGGGGAAUAUUGGACAAUGGGCGCAAGCCUGAUCCAGCCAUGCCGCGUGUGUGAAGAAGGCCUUUUGGUUGUAAAGCACUUUAAGCGAGGAGGAGGCUACUUGGAUUAAUACUCUAGGAUAGUGGACGUUACACGCAGAAUAAGCACCGGCUAACUCUGUGCCAGCAGCCGCGGUAAUACAGAGGGUGCGAGCGUUAAUCGGAUUUACUGGGCGUAAAGCGUGCGUAGGCGGCUUUUUAAGUCGGAUGUGAAAUCCCUGAGCUUAACUUAGGAAUUGCAUUCGAUACUGGGAAGCUAGAGUAUGGGAGAGGAUGGUAGAAUUCCAGGUGUAGCGGUGAAAUGCGUAGAGAUCUGGAGGAAUACCGAUGGCGAAGGCAGCCAUCUGGCCUAAUACUGACGCUGAGGUACGAAAGCAUGGGGAGCAAACAGG